AGUGAACGCUGGCGGUAGGCCUAACACAUGCAAGUCGAACGGCAGCACAGUAAGAGCUUGCUCUUACGGGUGGCGAGUGGCGGACGGGUGAGGAAUACAUCGGAAUCUACUUUUUCGUGGGGGAUAACGUAGGGAAACUUACGCUAAUACCGCAUACGACCUACGGGUGAAAGCAGGGGAUCUUCGGACCUUGCGCGAUUGAAUGAGCCGAUGUCGGAUUAGCUAGUUGGCGGGGUAAAGGCCCACCAAGGCGACGAUCCGUAGCUGGUCUGAGAGGAUGAUCAGCCACACUGGAACUGAGACACGGUCCAGACUCCUACGGGAGGCAGCAGUGGGGAAUAUUGGACAAUGGGCGCGGGCCUGAUCCAGCCAUACCGCGUGGGUGAAGAAGGCCUUCGGGUUGUAAAGCCCUUUUGUUGGGAAAGAAAAGCAGCAGGUUAAUACCCCGCUGUUCUGACGGUACCCAAAGAAUAAGCACCGGCUAACUUCGUG
rnacentral:rRNA from 1 species